UAGUAAUUAUGUUAUGUGUAUUUAUUGGUUCAAUUUUCUCUGCUCGUAUUAGAUAUGGGGGAGCCUCUCCCACUGUUCGUCAGCAGAGAAGAAUUUGUAAUUCUUCCAAAUCUUUAUAUUAGAAACUGUUGGAGAGGGGAGAUUUUGCCACAAAUCAACAAUCUUAUAAUUCUUAUCUCACCCCCGCCCCCCCUGGUAUUUAUAUGGUGCUUGCUAUGCACCUGCUCGUCAGGGUCUUAGCUAGGAUUUUAGGUCUUGGGCGUGUUUCUAAUGACCAGGGUGUGCACAUUUCAAUUACCUUAAAUAGCCAUAUUCACGGUUCUAGUUAAGCUCGCCAACAACAGACAAUGCCUAUGGUUGUUCUACUGCAUGUAUAUGCUUUGCAACCAAAUACAAGGCGAGCAUACGCUCAUAUUGCGCACUGACAUUAAAAUAUUAAGUUAUUUCAGCAACUCUUGGGGGUAUUUAAAACCAUUUUAACACCAUGCAGUUCCCGUUAUCCAUCAAGAUAUUAAAACUGGAUCGCUUUUGCCAAUUUCAACAACAACAGUAGAUUUUACAAACUUUCUUACGAGGUAAAUUGGAAGAAAUUCUGUCUGUUGUAAGUACUAUAGCAACACCUUAUUUUAUGAACCUACACGGCCUUAUAUAAAUAGUGAAGCCGCGUUCAUUUUAUCUAGCCGUGUUUUUCCACUUUUGGCCGCGAUAACACGGCCAACACGGCCCUCUAGCUAAGACCCUGCUGCUCGUUAAGGCCAAACCACCCUAUUUUGUUAUUUUUGUCGAUGUUACUCAUACAGGUUAGAAGCGCAGGAUCAAAAAUUUCUACUGUAAUUUUCUGGGAUAUUUUUUUUAUUCUAAAUAUAAAUAAUAUAAAAUGAAAUGUUAAUACAAAUAAUAAAAUAUUGAUUAUAAAUAAUAAUUUGUCAGUGGUUACUUUAAUAAUUGGUUUCCCCAUCAUGUAUAUAGGAUUUGGGGAAGUACAGACUAUACGUUGUGGCUCAAUAUUAGGCCCAUUAUUAUUUUUAUUAUACAUUAAUGAUUUACCCAACGCUGCGAGAAUGGCAGAGACUUUGCUUUUUGCAGAUGACACUGGCAUUUUUUAUUCUCACUCGGAUCCAAAACAUUUCAUUUCUGUGUUAAAUACGGAAUUAACUGAAAUUGAUAACUGGGUGAAAUCCAAUAAACUUUCGGUUAACAUAAAGAAAACAAGUUAUAUUAUUUUUAAAUCAAGGCGAAAGAAAAUCAGUGUCAAUUUACCAGCUAUUGUUUUCGACAAUCAACAUCUAAAACAAGAACAAGUUAUUAAAUUCUUGGGAAUUUACAUAGAUGAAAAUCUCGCAUGGAAACCGCAUAUAAACUAUGUGUGUAAAAAAAUAUCGAAAUCUAUUGGAAUAAUUUAUAGAUCUCGCUUUGAAUAAUUUAUAGAUCUUCGGGGGCAUGCCCCCCUCCCCUGGAAAAUUUUUAAAUUUGGAGUCUCUGAAAUGCCAUUUCCUGCAUUUUGGGAGAAGAUUAACAGAAUUCUAAAGGUACAAAAAUGUCAUUAAAAAAUCUCAAAAGUAACACUUUUUGGACAUCUGCUUGCAAUUAUAAGUU